rnacentral:tRNA from 1 species
CUGGUUGUAGCUCAGUGGUAGAGCACUUGUCUAGCACACAUGAGGCCCUAGGUUCAAUUCUCAGUUCCUAGU